GACGAACGCUGGCGGCGCGCUUAACACAUGCAAGUCGAACGGAAAGGCCUGCUUUCCCUUGUGGAUUGCGGGUACUCGAGUGGCGAACGGGUGAGUAACACGUGAGUGAUCUGCCCCCAACUUGGGUAUAAGCCUGGGAAACUGGGUCUAAUUCCCGAUAGGACUGCAGGGUGGUGCCUGUGGUGGAAAACGAUUUUCUAGUGGUUGGGGAUGAGCUCGCGGCCUAUCGGCUUGUUGGUGGGGUAAUGGCCUACCAAGGCGGCGACGGGUAGCCGGCCUGAGAGGGUGGACGGCCACAUUGGGACUGAGAUACGGCCCAGACUCCUACGGGAGGCAGCAGUGGGGAAUAUUGCACAAUGGGCGGAAGCCUGAUGCAGCGACGCCGCGUGGGGGAUGACGUCCUUCGGGUUGUAAACUCCUUUCGACCGCGAGGAAGCCACCUGGUUGGAAGGGUGGUGACGGUAGUGGUAGAAGAAGCACCGGCUAACUACGUG
rnacentral:rRNA from 1 species